rnacentral:rRNA from 1 species
GGAUUAGAAACCCGGGUAGUCCACGCCGUAAACGAUGGGUGCUAGGUGUGGGGAGUAUCCACUCUCUCCGUGCCGCAGCUAACGCAUUAAGCACCCCGCCUGGGGAUUACGACCGCAAGGUUAAAACUCAAAGGAAUUGACGGGGCCCGCACAAGCAGCGGAGCAUGUGGCUUAAUUCGACGCAACGCGAAGAACCUUACCAGGGCUUGACAUAUAGGAAAAACCGCAGAGAUGUGGUGUGCUUCGGCGUCCUAUACAGGUGGUGCAUGGUUGUCGUCAGCUCGUGCCGUGAGGUGUUGGGUUAAGUCCCGCAACGAGCGCAACCCUAUCCUAUGUUGCCAGCGAGUAAUGUCGGGACUCAUAGGAGACUGCCGGUGUCAAACCGG